GACGAACGCUGGCGGCGUGCCUAAUACAUGCAAGUCGAGCGGACCUCUUCGGAGGUUAGCGGCGGACGGGUGAGUAACCCGUGGGCAACCUGCCUGUAAGACUGGGAUAACUUCGGGAAACCGGAGCUAAUACCGGAUAAUCCUUUCGCUCUCAUGAGGGAAAGCUGAAAGCCGGAUUCGGCUGUCACUUACAGAUGGGCCCGCGGCGAAUUAGCCAGUUGGUGAGGUAACGGCACACCAAGGCGACGAUGCGUAGCCGACCUGAGAGGGUGAUCGGCCACACUGGGACUGAGACACGGCCCAGACUCCUACGGGAGGCAGCAGUAGGGAAUCUUCCGCAAUGGACGAAAGUCUGACGGAGCAACGCCGCGUGAGCGAAGAAGGCCUUCGGGUCGUAAAGCUCUGUUGUCAGGGAAGAACAAGUAUCGGAGUAACUGCCGGUACCUUGACGGUACCUGACCAGAAAGCCACGGCUAACUACGUGCCAGCCGCCGCGGUAA
rnacentral:rRNA from 1 species